UCAAACUUGGUCAUUUAGAGGAAGUAAAAGUCGUAACAAGGUUUCCGUAGGUGAACCUGCGGAAGGAUCAUUAGCGUAGAAUGACGCGCGCACCGACAAGGUCGCGCGCCGUCUUCAACACCAUGUGAACGAGGACCGAGUUUGUGUGCUGGUGGGGUAUGCGCACGUGCACAUCGGUGCAGUUCCUGUGCCCCGCCGGCAUGCGCAACCAAACUUUGUACCAACGUGUAACGACACACACAUACAAUAAUAUAACAACCAAACACACAACUUUUAACAAUGGAUCUCUUGGCUCCUGCAUCGAUGAAGAACGCAGC
rnacentral:misc_RNA from 1 species